UACGUAGGGUGCGAGCGUUAAUCGGAAUUACUGGGCGUAAAGCGCACGUAGGCGGCUUUGUAAGUUAGAGGUGAAAGCCCGGAGCUCAACUCCGGAAUUGCCUUUAAGACUGCAUCGCUUGAAUCCGGGAGAGGUGAGUGGAAUUCCGAGUGUAGAGGUGAAAUUCGUAGAUAUUCGGAAGAACACCAGUGGCGAAGGCGGCUCACUGGACCGGUAUUGACGCUGAGGUGCGAAAGCGUGGGGAGCAAACAGG
rnacentral:rRNA from 1 species